GCUCUGUCCCAAGGGGACAUCUGGGGAGGACCCCAAGAAGACCACAGAGAUCAGUGUGUGACUAUCUUGAUUCCCCAAAGGGAAUACCAGUGAUGAUCCCCAACUGUGUUCUGCACCAUGAUUCUGAGCUCUGACCUGAGCCCGAGAUGUGUCUUGAAAGACAAGUGAGAUAGACACUCUGAUGGCCAGUAACUUUCCAGUUGUGUUGCAAUGGAACUUUCUUUUUAUGAUAAGGGAAUGUUGACAGACAGUGAAACACGCAGGUUUCCAGCACACACACUGAUGCGCUAUGGCAAACAUAUCCAGUAGUGCAUCCACCGUGUUAGUCAAGAUAGAUUUUCAUCAUUCUAGAAUGUUCUUUUGUGCUCCCUCCAUCCCACCAUAGGGAACUGCUGUUCUGAUUUCUAUGACUACAGAUUAGUCUUGCUGGUUACAGAACUUGAAGAAAUGGAAUUCUCCAGGAUGGACUUGUUGUGUUACGUGUUCCUUCACAUUGCUGAGUGGUCCAUGUAGGAAGCUACCGCCAUCUUCUUCUUCAUUCUCCUGGUUACAGAUGCCUGGGUCGUCUCCAGUUUGGGACCAAAACCAACAAUGCUGCCAUGAUCAUUCUCAUGCCACCAGGAGGUGAUCGGUGUCACCUUGCUCUCCCGCCAUGCUGGUCUGCCUCACCAACAGAGCUGAGCGACUGUGGACCGAACCCUCCGGAAUCUGCACCCAAACAAGCAUCCCCCCCCCUUUUUAAGUUGUUUACCUCAGGCACUUUACACCAAUAUGUAAAAUAUUGAUUAAUGAUCAAAAAUACCAAUUAAUGCAAGAAACGAGGCGUUAAAGCAUCAAAUUGUUGAGGCUUUCACAGAAAAGUAGCACCCAGUGAGCACUUUGGAAGGACUCCGCCAUCCCUUGGCCACAGGAAAGCCCCAGCCUAUUCCCAGAGCACAUUUGGAAGUUCUCACCCGAAGCUUCCAAAGCUUCCCACUUUUGACGGAGGAGCCUCAUUUUCCAAUUUAUCUUCCAAUAGCAGCUAAAUGAGCGCACGCAGACUUCAAUCCAGACAGCAAUUUAUAUCAGCCAGAAAUGAGGCCAACUCCUACGUAUGUAAAAAUAAGUAAACAGUUAAACAGAC